rnacentral:rRNA from 1 species
UACGUAGGGUGCAAGCGUUGUCCGGAAUCACUGGGUGUAAAGGGUCCGUAGGCGGAUAAGCAAGUCGAUGGUGAAAUCCUGUGGCUCAACCACAGAACUGCCUUCGAUACUGCUUAUCUUGAGUUCGAGAGAGGGUAAUGGAAUUCAUGGUGUAGCGGUGAAAUGCGUAGAGAUCAUGAAGAACACCAGUAGCGAAGGCGGUUACCUGGCUCGAUACUGACGCUUAGGGACGAAAGCGUGGGGAGCAAACAGG